rnacentral:rRNA from 1 species
UCGAGGAUCUUCGGCAAUGGACGCAAGUCUGACCGAGCGACGCCGCGUGCGGGAUGAAGGCCUUCGGGUUGUAAACCGCCGUCGUAGGGGAGGAAAUAUUGGUGGGUUCUCCCAUCAGUUUGACCUAUCCUAAGAGGAAGUACGGGCUAAGUUCGUGCCAGCAGCCGCGGUAAGACGAACCGUACGAACGUUAUUCGGAAUCACUGGGCUUAAAGGGUGCGUAGGCGGCUCAGAAAGUAGGGUGUGAAAGCCCUCGGCUCAACCGAGGAAUUGCGCCCUAAACUACUGGGCUUGAGGAAGGCAGAGGUAAGCGGAACUUAGGGUGGAGCGGUGAAAUGCGUUGAUAUCCUAAGGAACACCAGGAGCGAAAGCGGCUUACUGGGCCUUUUCUGACGCUGAGGCACGAAAGCUAGGGGAGCGAACG